GGCAGGUGUGGAGGUGAAAUCAGGCUGGGAGCUUGCAGUGCUGCGGGAGCCGUCCCGGGGUGACAACAGGACAGGAGAAAAAAAACAAACAAACGCGGAGACCAUUCCAUGUUAUCGGCAGCAACAUUGUGAAAAACGAGCAUCCCAAACAGCCCCGGGCAAGAAGAACAGAAAACAUGUCUCCCGUUUGUUUCUGUUUGAUGAACGCAGUUGGAAGACGGGGUGUGACGGGCUUCACAGAGACAACACUUAACUUGGAUUUAUUCGAUGAAAACUCCUUUUUGAUUCUCACGAGUGGACUAAAGGGAUAUAAAUGUUCGAGAAAUGGACGCAAAUUCUGACUUUCUGAUCGCAUUUAAAAGCCAUGCCAGGCAGCACAGCUCCUCAUUAGGAAGCUGGACGGAUAGGGGAUCAUGAGUCUCACAUGCCGUCAGUGCCAGUAAUGUGGCGAACUAAACUGAACCUAGCAGUGUUGCUGGCUGGUGUUCGAGCACGGCUUGUGCACAGCUUGCGCAGAGACGGCGUGCUGUCACGGUCCCCGAGGAAGAGCUGCGGCGUUUGCCCGCUCUCGGUCCCAUAUGCCGGAGACAGACAGAGCUUGACAAAUGGAUGGCGGCGAUGAUAAUUACAUCGCUAAUGAUGAUGUCCUUCUGUACGGAGUAUGUGCCACAUAUGGCUCUGGUCUGUUACGGUUGACUAACAAUGUACAAAGCUUGAUAAACACUCAAAAUUAUAA